UACGUAGGGGGCUAGCGUUGUCCGGAUUUAUUGGGCGUAAAGAGCGUGUAGGCGGCCAGGGAGGUCCGUUGUGAAAACUCGAGGCUCAACCUCGAGACGCCGAUGGAAACCCCCUGGCUAGAGUCCGGAAGAGGAGAAUGGAAUUCCUGGUGUAGCGGUGAAAUGCGCAGAUAUCAGGAAAAACACCCGUGGCUAAGGCGGUUCUCUAGUACGGUACUGACGCUGAGACGCGAAAGCGUGGGGAGCGAACAGG
rnacentral:rRNA from 1 species